AGUCGAGCGCGAUUUAUUGGAACGAAACUUCGGUCUAGAGAAAAUAAUGAAAGCGGCGGACGGGUGAGUAACGCGUAGGCAACCUGCCCCAUACAGAGGGAUAGCCUCGGGAAACCGGGAUUAAAACCUCAUAACGCGAACAUGUCACAUGGCUAGUUCGCCAAAGAUUUAUCGGUAUGGGAUGGGCCUGCGUCUGAUUAGUUAGUUGGUGAGGUAACGGCUCACCAAGGCGACGAUCAGUAGCCGACCUGAGAGGGUAGACGGCCACAUUGGAACUGAGACACGGUCCAAACUCCUACGGGAGGCAGCAGUGGGGAAUAUUGCACAAUGGGCGCAAGCCUGAUGCAGCAACGCCGCGUGAGCGAUGAAGGCCUUUGGGUCGUAAAGCUCUGUCCUAAGGGAAGAAAAAAAUGACGGUACCUUAGGAGGAAGCCCCGGCUAACUACGUGCCAGCAGCCGCGGUAAUACGUAGGGGGCAAGCGUUAUCCGGAAUUAUUGGGCGUAAAGAGUGCGUAGGUGGUUAUUUAAGCGCAGGGUGAAAGGCUACAGCUUAACUGUGGUAAGCCUUGCGAACUGGAUGACUUGAGUGCAGGAGAGGAAAGCGGAAUUCCUAGUGUAGCGGUGAAAUGCGUAGAUAUUAGGAGGAACACCAGUGGCGAAGGCGGCUUUCUGGACUGUAACUGACACUGAGGCACGAAAGCGUGGGGAGCAAACAGGAUUAGAUACCCUGGUAGUCCACGCCGUANACGAUGAGCACUAGGUGUCGGGGUCGCAAGGCCUCGGUGCCGCAGCUAACGCAUUAAGUGCUCCGCCUGGGGAGUACGCACGCAAGUG
rnacentral:rRNA from 1 species